rnacentral:rRNA from 1 species
GACGAACGCUGGCGGCGUGCUUAACACAUGCAAGUCGAACGCUGAAGCUCAGCUUGCUGGGUGGAUGAGUGGCGAACGGGUGAGUAACACGUGAGUAACCUGCCCUCUUCUUUGGGAUAACGCCCGGAAACGGGUGCUAAUACUGGAUAUUCACUGAUUCUCGCAUGGGGGUUGGUGGAAAGGUUUUUUCUGGUGGGGGAUGGGCUCGCGGCCUAUCAGCUUGUUGGUGGGGUGAUGGCCUACCAAGGCUUUGACGGGUAGCCGGCCUGAGAGGGUGACCGGUCACAUUGGGACUGAGAUACGGCCCAGACUCCUACGGGAGGCAGCAGUGGGGAAUAUUGCACAAUGGGCGAAAGCCUGAUGCAGCGACGCCGCGUGAGGGAUGGAGGCCUUCGGGUUGUAAACCUCUUUCGCUCAUGGUCAAGCCGCAGCUUUGGAUUGUGGUGAGGGUAGUGGGUAAAGAAGCGCCGGCUAACUACGUG